AUUGUCUUCUACAGUAGAGCGGGACAUUUGAUUUACUCUCAGCGGAAUUGACCGGAGAAGGCAUCAGUUCAUGCACUGCACUGGCCCGCACCACGAUUAGUAUAAGGCACAUUUCACGAAGCAGAACGCAGUCUUCAGAGAUAUCCACGUGAACGCUGUGAUACGUCUGACCUUCAGUCCGAAGAAGAAACCCAGACCAGUCUUAAAAGAAAGCACAAACCAAAUCCCCUGUACACAUAUACGGACUCAGAGGAUGAGCAGCCUACAAAAAAACGGUUUCCCCAGGCCCCUCGAGUGAAAAUACCAGCCCUCAUCACUCCGCAGUCUGCCCCCCAGCCCACUGAUAGCAACCAUCAUAAUGCCCCACCCAGCUUCCGGCACCUUUCGCCACUCCGGCACAAACCGACACAGCUUUGCGAUCUCGCCAGCAUGCAGAGUCUGAUGUCUUCCCUAUAGAUGAUUCCAGAGACUCUGUGAGGCCACUAUUACAAGGUGAGACGCUUUGCGUUGAUUGGUGCUGCUGGACCACACUGGAGGUGCGAGUCCGCUGUGUAAUGGUUUAUGCCAUUACAAAGGAGCUGGCCUCUGUACUCAACUGGGCAGGGAAAAAAAAAACAAGGACCAGACAAAGCAAAAAAGGGCAUUUAAAGAGACAGCGCUGUGCAGAUGCAUAUUUGAUGGCCUGGCGCAGCAGGUAGGGGCGAACUCUAUGUCUGAGUUGGUCUUUGCUCAAGCAGUCCAGAAAUGGCUCAGAUAUGCUCCAGAUCGUACGGGUGGCGUGCAGGACACACAUCAUCC